ensembl:lncRNA
CGUGCGAAAAGCGCCAGGUUCUGCUCUGAGGAGCUUCUCCCGCGUCUCCAUUAGCGGCUGGAUGCUGACCUGGAGACACGGAGAUUUGGGCACCACAGACAAGGAAUUCAUUGUCAGAGACGGAGAUUGGAGUUGGCCUGAAGACAAACUAUGUGAGUUAUGGGAGGCAGAAGAGAAGCAGCAGUCAUUAUAUCUGAAGAUUAUUGUCAGACCCAGGGAUGCUGUUUGGUGCCCAUUUGUUUUUGCUCUUCCCUCCUUCCUGAUGCUGGUCAUCAAAAGUGACCUCAGCCUUCUACAGGACACUUUACUGACAAUUCACAGAGGUGGCAGCCAUGAAGAGCCAGCAAUCUUCCAUAGACAUCGAGGUCACAUCCCAGCAGCAGAAUAGCAGCUCAUGUGUAAGUUCUGACAUGUUCAUAACUUUUUCCUGUUCCUCAACUACAUUUUUUGCAUAUUUAUCUUCCAGCUUGUCCCACAAUUGUGUAAAUACUAAUUCUUAUCAUAAAUUUCUUCUUGUGUAUAAUUCAUAGUAGCUCUGCUUCCCAGAUUGAAUCUUUUUAAAGCUACAACUAAAGUAUAUUUUCAAAAAGAACUGAUUGAAAAAAACCACUGCUUGAAACUUCUUUUAUUACUUGAAGUUGUUUGAUUUUGAGGUUUUUUUUUUCCUGACCUCUUCAUAGUGAUCACUAGUGCAGAAUGAUGAUUUUUCUGUGCCUAAAUAGGAGAAAUUGUCAGAAUAACUAAGAUGAAUUUCAAGAAAAUUCAGCAUUUUGUUUUUAUGUUACUAAAAGAAAUCAAUAUUAUUUGUAUGUGAACAUUUCAAUAUAAUCUAGUGCUCUAGAACUGCCUGGACUAUAGAGAGCCAGUCAUGAAAAUCUCAGAUGCCUUGGGACAGGGAGGAAGGACCAAGCCAGAUUGUGGCCAAAAAAGACGUUUUCUUCCUGCUGGCAGGUGGAGCCAUCCUUGGGGUGAAGUGUAUGGCAUGUAGGUUCUUGUUGAAAGAACAGCUGUGGACAGAGGUCCUGAUGUCAUUGGCUCACUAUGGACCUUGUCAUGAGUAGGUCAAGAACAGGAGUGAGUGGAAGGUGCUUAUUCUUACACUCCUGCUCUGGAAAGAGAGUGGACUUCAAGUCCAGACAUGAUAACAAAGAGGUAUUGACUUUGUUGUCCGUAUUGAGAAAUGAGGCUUGAUCUAGAAAGGGGUGCACCUGCAGAGUACUUUCUGGGUUUUGUUUUUUCUGCUUUUUUUUUGCCUUUCUUUCAAAGCCUGCGAAGGAGACCGUGAAUAUCUUCUAUUCAAAGAAGAGAAUGGCAAAGGAGACAGUGUUAGCAGCCUUGCCUGCAAAGGCAAUGCUAUUGGUGUUGUUUAUUUCUUUGGUGGGAAUACCCUUUCUUCUUAUAUUUGCCUGGCAAACUCUGACUCUCCCUUAAAGGUCCAAACCUAAUGUUGGAGGGCUUCCUUGACUGACCUUCUCCCACCCUACCCUGUCACAUACCCUGGGCAGACUGACAGAUUGCUUCAUCUCUUUUCCAGUGGCACUUCAUACUCCUAAUUUAGCAUAUCUUGCAGUGUAUUGCAAUUCAUCUUUUUUGUUGACAUUAUAACCCUAUGAUAUAUUAAUUUGUGGGAUUUUUUUGUGUCUUCUCCUUUAUGGAUCAAAAAGCAGUAAAGCAAAGAAAAUGAGAAAAUCUGUCACUGGCGACAGGAGGAAGUGGGAGAUUUUACAUUUCUUAGAGUGUUGUACAUUCAGAAGGGGUUGCCUUGUUGCAUAUACAACAUAACCCAGCUUUACAUUUUCUUGAUUAGUCAAGGCACCAGAAAUAACAUCCUUUCAAUCCAUUGCCUAAAAUAAUUGGUAUCUAUGUAUUUGCAAAGUUUUAAAAAGGCAUAAGCAAGUCUGGAAAUUGGGCUUUGUCCCCUGAAGACUACUCUGCAGGCAUAGAAGGCAUUGGAGAUUGUGCUCUGGGGGCAGAGCCUUCUCUUAUGCAACCUGCUUUAUGGGCCUCAUGACCCUUGACCCAUGCUGUGUAAUUAAUAAUCUUUCCCUUCUCCUGGGAAACAAAUGGGAUUAGCAAAUGGUGCCAAUGUCGAUUACUCUUAAGGAAGUCACACUGAGAUGAGUGUCUCCUCCCCAAAGAACAUAUUCUACAAACCACACAAAGGGAGAAUCAUGCAAUAUAUGCAAAAUUCCUGGGAUGACGUUUUUUGUCCAGCUAACAUGCUUGCUAACUGUUUUCUAUCAAAUACUCACAAGGUAUCCACUACUUAGUGCCCCAAAGGAGGCAGAAAUGUUGGAAAUUGAAUGUGUCCAUUAAACCUAUCACAAAUGAGGUAGAGUGUGUGACUGGAGGGUACCACCAAUAAACUACUCUCAUGGGCCUGGAGGCGGAGACUUUUGCCUGGAUGUCACCCAGGACAGAGUACACCUGUGAAGCACUUGCCGAUCAUGCUUAUGGCUCCUGGGUGUAGGGUGGGGAGAAGCCCUCUUGCCAUCCUAAGACCAUGCCUGCCAGGGGUCCUGGACUGCUCAGGCAUAGAAAACCCCAUCAGCUUGUGUUUGUCUCUGGGGUCCUGAAAUUACUUUCUAGUUACAAUGAAAAAAAGUGAAAUGAAACCUUACUUAGGAAGGAUCCCUAAUUUCGGCAAUAUUCUGAAACAUGUAGCAAGGGCUUGGCUUUUGAAGGACAGAAAAAUCCUUCUGAAGGGGUACUAAUACACAGUUGUUGCAAAGUCUUUCAUGAUUAUAUGAGUCAAGUCCCAUGGGCUUUGUCUGAGACUUGCUACUGGGCUGAAGUAACUUCAACAGAAGCCCACUCAUUAAAGAAUCAGGCACAGCACAAGGUCCUGCAGGUCAGAAUAGCUCAAAUGAAAGACUUAUUUACCUCUGAUGGCCGUGGUAAUGUAGCCAGAGUAUUUGGAAUAAGAUUGAAGAGGGAAAGACAAAGGUGAAAAUUAAGAAGCAGUUCUUUGUGUUAGGACUAAGGGAUGAAUCAAGGCUACAUCCUAGGCAUGAGCCAAAAGGUCAGAGGUAGGAUGACUGGCACUUCUGUUACCUGUUACCUGUUUCCUAGGUCCUCUGUCUUUCUUUUUCUUGGUUUACUUUUUCGUUUUUGGUGGGUAGCUUCCUGGAAAAGGGUGCAUGUGGUUGGCACAUGUGGUGUGGUGGCAUGUGAUUGUAACCGCAGAUUGGUGGUUACUGGAGGGGGAAAGGGGUUGAUGGGUGGGUGAAAUGGGUGAUGGCAGUCAAUUGUAUGGUGAUAGGUGGUAACUAGAUAUUUGGUGGAGAUGACUUUGGUGUGUAUAUAGAUGUUGAAUUUUCAUGUCAUGCACCUGAAACAUAUAAUGUUAAUAUCAAUUUUACAUAAAUUUUAAAAAAUUAAAGGAGAAAAAAAGAAGAUGCAUGUGAUGACAAUUUUUUAAGACACUUUAAGUCUAGGUGUAUUUUUAUUUUACUCCGUUACUGAUUGAUACUUGUGUAGAUGCAGAAGUCUAUGUUGAAAGACAAGUAUCCAUUAUCUUCUAGCCUCAUUCUUGUUCUUGAAAAGUUUGUUAAUAUUUUAUCUGACUUCCCCUACUCCUAUUCAUUUUCUCUCUUCUCUUUUCUGGGACUCCAAAAUUGACAUGUUAAAUCCAUGGGAUUUAUCUCCUAGUUUUUUUUCAUAUGUAUAUAUGAAAUAGAUACAAUGCCAUGCAUCAUGACAUCUUUGAGGAUCAACAAAGAGGUCAGGGUGGAAGUGAGGGAAACAGUCUCAAAUAUAUUUGUCUUAAUUAUUUUAAAUAAGUCAAGAGGUCUUAAUUUAGUAAAGGAUCUUUGACAAUAGAAGUAGAAAGGAAAAAACUUUUUUUGGUAAAUUCAGUAAUUUUUCUCCCUUACUUGGAAUAUUAUUUAUGCCAUCUUUAGCUCUGAAAAUUUGUUUGGAUAACUUUCUGGGUAACUUUGGGUGAAUUUUAUGUGUCCUGUGUCUUUGUUUUUGUUACCUAAAAUUCUUUGACCAUUACUGUCCUCUUUCCCCCACAUCACCAGACUCCAAGCACCAAAAUCUUACCCAUCCAUCAAGGCCCAUAUUAAGUAUUUCCUUACUUAAGCAGUCUUUCCUGAUUCUCUCAAGAAGCUCAAUCUUUUUCUCACUUAACAUGUUAAUUGUACCUUUCUGGUGAUACUUACUUUAUUCUCAGUGGAAAUAUACCUCCCUAUCUUCCUCUUACACUAUAUGCUUUUUGAGGGCGAAAAUCAUGUCUUGCUCAUCUCCAUAUCUUCUAUUAUACUCAGAAGACUCCCAAUAACUGUUGUUAAAAUGAGUUUCAUAUCACCCAUCUGUAAGUCAAAAGUCCAUAGUUUUAUUAAAAACAACAACAACAACAAAAAAUCAAAAAAAACUUUGUAAUGUGUAUUGGAAUACAUGUGUAAGUAUCCUUCUUAAAGAGAGUUGUAUCCCUGGAUAAAGCUGUUUCCCAUUCUAUCAUAAAUGACUCUCAUCUUUUCUAUUCCACCUUUAUUAUUAGCAGAGACUUUCCAUGUUUAUCAGGUUUUGAUAAUCAGAAUUCUUUUCCUUGGUUAAGUCGUUUAAAUUUGAUAAUCCUUUGGAAAAGUACCCCCCACACCCCAGCAGCCAAACAAAAUAACUCACAAGGUUAAACUAUUAGCUUUGAAAUGGCUUUCAUUAUUUAGCUGGCUUAAAACUCUCUAAUGUUUUGAGCAUGUCAGUCCACUGGAAAGGGCGAGCCAGGUGGAAUGGAAUCUUAGUUCCCUCUCUUUAUUAGGCUGGUCAGGAUAAAUGUCCUAGGAGCAAUUUUCCAAAAAUUUGUUUUAAGUCUCUUGUGACUUGGAAAAUGAGCAGCUUCAAAUAUCUUUCAGGAUAUUGUCCUGUAUGUGAACUUUAGAUUACCUAUAUUUGAAGGUUUAAAAAAAUCUAUUUAAGGUGCAUUUUGGAAAGAUCAGUGAUGACGGUCUGAGCUAAAAGCCAUUGGUUCAUAUUUCCCUAGUUCUCGUACUGUUUGUCAUUAGUAAAUCUCACACCGGACAUUUGUCCCAUCUUAUAAACAUAAAUGACACUCUUGCCUUUAUUUUUAUAUUUUAGCUUCCGUUAAAGUAAGGCUUAGAUGUCCCUUUUUUUCAGACAAAGAUCAGAUCACCAGAAAUAAGCGUAAUGUUAAAAAUUUAUUUAGUGACUGAAUUAACUUUAUCUGCCUCUUUAAAGGACCAUGGUUAUAUCUCCUUGUGUACUUAGGAAAUUCCUUGAAACAUACAACAUAUAUAUUAUUAGUUUCUCAGUGAAUAACAAUUUUGGAAUUUUAAAUAUUGUUAAGAUAAUUCAUGUCACACUGAGAAGUUAGCUCUUUGAAUAGUGUAUUCACAGUAAUGUAGUUUACCAUAUUUUUAUCAUUUAUUCGUCACAAUAACUCUAUGAUGUGUUCAGAAAGUACACAUAACAUACAUUCAUAUAUAAUUUGAUUAUUUUAUUCAAAGAAAUCCGAUAUGUGCUAUCCUUUCCUGACACGUGAUUUGAAUAACUUUUUUUUUAACAGCUUUUUUUUCCCCCCCAAUUUAAUCUGGAAACAAAUUUCAUCAAGCUUGGUGCUAAAAGUCUAUCUGGUGAGAAUGUUUCCAAUUAUAUAUAUAUACACACACGCACACGCAUAUAUAUGUAGAUAGAAGAUCAGAUAUCAGUCAGUCACAUUUAAAUUGAAGUAGUAUUUUUUUGUGUUUGUUUUAGUAAUGUGACUUUGCUUGAAUUGAAUAUAGGUUUAUAAUCAUUUACCAGCCUAGAAAUAGCUAAAUACCUGAUUUUCAGAUUAACAUUGAGAUUCCAUUUCUGCCUGUUUGAUGUCCUUACAUGACUGAAACCAAGUAAGCUCCAUAUUGCUUGAUUGUAAUGUUCAUCUGGCUUCCUGCCAUGUAAAUGGAUGUAUUAAUACUCAGUUCUCAAGAGUGUUGUGAAGUUCAGUUAAUUAAUGUUUAUAAAAGCUUCUUGAGAUUGUCUGCUGAAAGAUAUUAUGUGUGUUAAAAUUAUAUAAAAAGCCAACAUGUAGAGCACUCUAGAAAUUGUUGCUUAGCAAAGAUAAAAUUGCCCUGAAUAUCUAUUAGCCAUCCCUGUAUCAAUGACUUCUGGUUUCUUUAAUUUAUUAUAGUAUUUUAUUGGAUGGUACAUAAAGAUGACUUAAAGCUGCAUCAUCUCUUUUCAUGGUAAGGAAUUCUUUAUGAAAUUUUGGUCAGAGAGGUUUAGGUAAAGCAUUUGUCUGGUGUUCAUUCAGGCAGAAAAUUCAAAUCAAAGAUCUCAUAUAAAGUAAAAUGUUAGCUGGAAGAUUCAUUCUUGUUCCCGACUGAGUGCCCAUGUGGUAGGUAUUCUAUUUGUUCCUUGACAUCUAAUCUCCAUUUCUCUCUCAUAGCAAUAGAAUGCCUAAUUUUUUGCUGGGCACAUGGCCAUCCUGAAAAAUUCUACAUAUUGUCCACCUUUCUUACAACUGAAUGUGGCCUCUGAUAACUAAGUUCCAGUUCACAGAAUGUGAGCAGAAUUAAUCUGUAAAACUUUAGGUUGCAUCCUGAAAGAGAGGACACACCCUUCUUUCUGCCUUUUUACGUCCUAUUGCUUGGGGAAUAGAUGUAGUGACAAGCUACCUUGGACAUGUGGGUGAAGAAACCAGCCUAAAGAUAGAGGAGCAAGAAGAGAAGACAAAAGGAACUUGAGUCCCUGAACAACUUGUAGAACACAGCUGCCAUAGCAGCCUUAUAAUGCCUAUUUGUGAAUGUGUUUAAGACAUUAGUUUGAGUCUUGAUUAUAAACCACUGAUUAUAUCCUAACUUAUUAUCCCUAUCUUUACAGAAAGGGCAAAGUAAUUCAGUUUUUUAGGCCGCCCACCAAAUUGUCCACUCAUGGAUCAGAUCUCAUUGAAAAGUAGACUGUAAUUUUUAUUUGUGUAUUGGGUACAUUAAAAAGUUUUAGUUUGGGGGUAUGACUCCUCAUCCUAAAAUGCAUAAAGAAAAAUGUCUUUAGUUUCGCCCCCAAACAGACUAGCGAGCUCUACUUUGAAAUGGCUUCAUCCUCUGAAAGCCCUGAACAUUAUACACUUAAAACUGAAAA